rnacentral:rRNA from 1 species
UGGGGAAUAUUGGACAAUGGGCGAAAGCCUGAUCCAGCCAUACCGCGUGUGUGAAGAAGGCCUUAUGGUUGUAAAGCACUUUAAGUGGGGAGGAAAAGCUUAUGGAUAACACCCAUAGGUUCUGACGUUACCCACAGAAUAAGCACCGGCUAACUCUGUGCCAGCAGCCGCGGUAAUACAGAGGGUGCAAGCGUUAAUCGGAAUUACUGGGCGUAAAGCGAGCGUAGGUGGUUUAUUAAGUCAGAUGUGAAAUCCCUGGGCUUAACCUAGGAACUGCAUCUGAUACUGAUAAACUAGAGUAGGUGAGAGGAAAGUAGAAUUCCAGGUGUAGCGGUGAAAUGCGUAGAGAUCUGGAGGAAUACCGAUGGCGAAGGCAGCUUUCUGGCAUCAUACUGACACUGAGGUUCGAAAGCGUGGGUAGCAAACAGGAUUAGAUACCCUGGUAGUCCACGCCGUAAACGAUGUCUACCAGUCGUUGGGUCUUUUAAAGGCUUAGUGACGCAGUUAACGCGAUAAGUAGACCGCCUGGGGAGUACGGCCGCAAGGUUA